UCUGGUUGAUCCUGCCAGUAGUCAUAUGCUUGUCUCAAAGAUUAAGCCAUGCAUGUCUAAGUAUAAAUAGUAUACAGUGAAACUGCGAAUGGCUCAUUAAAACAGUUAUAGUUUAUUUUAUAAUUGACAAUUACAUGGAUAACCGUGGUAAUUCUAGAGCUAAAACAUGCUUAAACGCCCGACUUUAUGGAAGGGUGGUAUUUAUUAGACUGAAGCCAAUAUUCCUUGUGUCUAUUGCGGUGAUUCAUAAUAACUGAUCGAAUCUCUUUUUGAGAUAAAUCAUUCAAGUUUCUGCCCUAUCAGCUUUCGAUGGUAGUGUAUUGGACUACCAUGGCGGUAACGGGUAACGAAGAAUUAGGGUUCGAUUUCGGAGAGGGAGCAUGAGAAACGGCUACCACAUCUAAGGAAGGCAGCAGGCGCGUAAAUUACCCAAUCCUGACUCAGGGAGGUAGUGACAAGAAAUAGCAAACCGGGAACCUCAUGGUUUCACGGUAUUGCAAUGAGAACAAUUUAAAACCCUUAGCGAGAAUCAAGUGGAGGACAGGUCUGGUGCCAGCACCCGCGGUAAUUCCAGCUCCACUAGCGUAUAUUAAAGUUGUUGCAGUUAAAAAGCUCGUAGUUGAACCUCUGUCUGGGGCUAGUUUUGGCUUUGGUCAGGCUAGUUCUAGGCAUCCGCCUACAAGACUUAGAGGGCAUUCAGUUGUUCACUAGGAGGAGUAGGCAUUUUACUUUGAAAAAAUUAGAGUGUUUAAGGCAGGCAAUCGCCCGCAUAUAUUAGCAUGGAAUAAUAGAAUAGGACACUUUUCCAUUUCGUUGGUUAUUGGAAUCGUGUAAUGAUUAAUAGGGACAGUUGUGGGCAUUUGUAUUUAAUUGUUAGAGGUGAAAUUCUUGGAUUUAUUAAAGACAAACUAACGCGAAAGCAUUUGCCAAGGAUGUUUUCAUUAAUCAAGAACGAAAGUUAGGGGAUCAAAGACGAUCAGAUACCGUCCUAGUCUUAACUAUAAGCUAUUCCGACUCAAUGUUUGACUGGCUUAUAUAACCAGUUGAGCGUUGUAUGAGAAAUCAAAGUCUUUAGGUUCUGGGGGGAGUAUGGUUGCAAAGCUGAAACUUAAAGGAAUUGACGGAAGAGCACAACCAGGAGUGGAUUCUGCGGCUUAAUUUGACUCAACACGGGGAAACUUACCAGGUUAAAACAAUAGUGGGAUUGACAGUUUGAGAGCGCUUUCUUGAUUGGUUGGGUGGUGGUGCAUGGCCGUUCUUAGUUGGUGGAGUGAUUUGUCUGCUUAA
rnacentral:rRNA from 1 species